rnacentral:lncRNA from 1 species
CCAAUUUCCAAGGUGGACAUACAAUCACCCAGACACUCGCCCACGCACACACACACACACACACACACACACACACACACACACACACACACACACCACUCCUUGUUCUGCAGCUCUGGCUCAGUCAGUGAGUGUCUCUCUACCAGGAUGAACGUGUUUCUGUUUCUCUGGAUUGCCCUGGUGCCAUUGUUCUGCUAUGGAAGUGAGGACUAUGAUGAAUAUGACAAUGAUACAAGUGUAACACCAAUGCCAGACUAUGACUACAACAGCACCUUUGAGUAUUACUACGUGACUGAGGAUCACGUCACCGACACGGUGAGCAGUCCUUCUGUUUGUUUACCAGAACCAGGAGACCCUGUAUCUCUACUUCCUGUCAGAAACCAGCCAACAGGAGACGCUGCAGGAGACACGACUCAGCUUACUCCCUGCUGUCUCCUAACUUCUGGAUGUUUCUGUUGA